AAACGGGUGGUAAUGCCGGAUGCUCCAGUUGACCGCAUGGUCCUCUGGGAAAGCUUUUGCGGUAUGGGAUGGGGUCGCGUCCUAUCAGCUUGAUGGCGGGGUAACGGCCCACCAUGGCUUCGACGGGUAGCCGGCCUGAGAGGGCGACCGGCCACAUUGGGACUGAGAUACGGCCCAGACUCCUACGGGAGGCAGCAGUGGGGAAUAUUGCACAAUGGGCGCAAGCCUGAUGCAGCGACGCCGCGUGCGGGAUGACGGCCUUCGGGUUGUAAACCGCUUUUGACUGGGAGCAAGCCCUUCGGGGUGAGUGUACCUUUCGAAUAAGCACCGGCUAACUACGUGCCAGCAGCCGCGGUAAUACGUAGGGUGCAAGCGUUAUCCGGAAUUAUUGGGCGUAAAGGGCUCGUAGGCGGUUCGUCGCGUCCGGUGUGAAAGUCCAUCGCUUAACGGUGGAUCCGCGCCGGGUACGGGCGGGCUUGAGUGCGGUAGGGGAGACUGGAAUUCCCGGUGUAACGGUGGAAUGUGUAGAUAUCGGAA
rnacentral:rRNA from 1 species